GAACACGUGGGUGACCUGCCUUCGAGCGGGGGAUAACGUCCCGAAAGGGACGCUAAUACCGCAUGACAUCCUGCCUUUGGAAAGGCGGAGAUCAAAGCUGGGGAUCGCAAGACCUGGCGCUUGAAGAGGGGCCCGCGCCUGAUUAGCUAGUUGGUGGGGUAACGGCUCACCAAGGCAACGAUCAGUAUCCGGCCUGAGAGGGCGGACGGACACACUGGGACUGAGACACGGCCCAGACUCCUACGGGAGGCAGCAGUGGGGAAUUGUUCGCAAUGGGCGCAAGCCUGACGACGCAACGCCGCGUGGAGGACGAAGAUCUUCGGGUCGUAAACUCCUGUCGAGCGGGACGAAUACCCACCGGUGAACAACCGGGAGGGCUGACGG
rnacentral:rRNA from 1 species